rnacentral:lncRNA from 1 species
ACAAUAAAGAGUAUAUACCAUAUGAUUCUAGUUUUCUAGCAAAUGUAAACUUAACUACAGAGACAGCCAUUAGUUUGCCUGGGAACAGUUGAGGAAGGGCAGGAAGAAAGUUGUACAAAGUCACAGGGAAACUUGUGGGUGAUUACUAUGUUUAUUAUCUUGAUUGUGAUGAUGGUUUCAUUAGGCAUGCCAAUUUUCCAAAUUGUGUGCCUUAAAUAUGUG